rnacentral:lncRNA from 1 species
GUGAAAGGGGGAAAAUGGCGCGGAAGAGAUUGCUGCUGCUGUUGAAGCCAUUUGAUGUGUACCCUUCUCACGAACCCUCUCUUCAUUCCGUUUCUUCCUCCUCCUCCUCCUCCAACAACCGCCACAAGGUACGCAAUUUUUCAACAUGAAAUUAUGUAAACGAAAAACAGAGAAACUCAUUUUGGAUUCUACAGUAGUCGUCCAUUGAUUACUCAGUGAGUAGCUAUGUUCCCGGGUUGUUCGUUGCAUUUUUCAUUUGUCUUUUAGGAAGAAAGAAUCCAUAAUUAAUUGAGUACAUCACCUGUUUGAUAAUAUGCCUCAAAGACCAGUACUGCCAUUCAAUAGUUGUUAUUGUGUUGCCGUGCCGUAGACUUUUGGCGCAUAUGUCGAUUUCGGAAGCUAUUAGGUAUGUUUGUUAAGAUUGGAUUUUUUUUUCGUAACUUUAUAUUAUGAAAUGAAUGGGCUUUGGGAAAACUUAGUGAC